UACGAAGGGGGCAAGCGUUGUCCGGAAUCAUUGGGCGUAAAGCGCGUGUAGGCGGUUCAGUAAGUCUGCUGUGAAAGUCCAGGGCUCAACCCUGGGAUGCCGGUGGAUACUGCUGGACUAGAGUGCGGAAGAGGCGAGUGGAAUUCCCGGUGUAGCGGUGAAAUGCGCAGAUAUCAGGAGGAACACCGGUGGCGAAGGCGGUUCUCUGGGCCUGUACUGACGCUGAGGAACGAAAGCGUGGGGAGCGAACAGG
rnacentral:rRNA from 1 species